UGCCCAUUGGCCCAGUGGUUAAGGCGUCUGACUGUUACUAUUGUUGACAAUAGACAAGAAAAUCAGAAGAUCCCUGGUUCGACCCCAGGAUGGGCAG